CAGAGGGUCACACUGGUCUGGUCCCAGAAGAGAGAAAUCACCCACAACACCAAGAAACUGAAAAACAAUCUCAAUCUUCAAUGAAAUCAAGGGAUACUUAAAAUCUUGUGGCACCGAGGUCACAAAAAAGAUGAAGGAGGUGUAAC
rnacentral:lncRNA from 1 species